rnacentral:lncRNA from 1 species
AUAGACUGAGCUGUUUGCCUUAGUUUCUCAUCUGUACAGUGAUCUGAAGGAAGAUAUGGCAAGCCAUUCCAAUAGCUUUGCCAAGAAACUAUAAAAAAAGAGGUCACAAAAAAUUGGAUGUGACUGAAAAUGACUAAACUAUAAUAACAACAGCCGUGCCUGGCACAUAGGAAAUCUUAUAUAAAUGUUAGCUAUAUUAUCAUUAUUACUAGGCUUUGGAUGUUUGAUUAUUUUUAUAUGUAUAUUCCUAUCUCCAACAUGUUCCAGUAUAUUUGGGAGUUAUGUUCCUGCAAACUCUGUGCAUUAAGGGAUUCCAAGGUGAACUUAAGGACAUCUUGCUGCAUGAGGUCUGAGGACACUGAAAACUGGCUACCAAGGAGAAGUAGCAGGCUGGUAAAUACAAGGUAG